rnacentral:rRNA from 1 species
UACCGCAUACGCCCUACGGGGGAAAGCAGGGGAUCGCAAGACCUUGCACUAUUAGAGCGGCCGAUAUCGGAUUAGCUAGUUGGUGGGGUAACGGCUCACCAAGGCGACGAUCCGUAGCUGGUUUGAGAGGACGACCAGCCACACUGGGACUGAGACACGGCCCAGACUCCUACGGGAGGCAGCAGUGGGGAAUUUUGGACAAUGGGGGAAACCCUGAUCCAGCCAUCCCGCGUGUGCGAUGAAGGCCUUCGGGUUGUAAAGCACUUUUGGCAGGAAAGAAACGUCAUGGGUUAAUACCCUGUGAAACUGACGGUACCUGCAGAAUAAGCACCGGCUAACUACGUGCCAGCAGCCGCGGUAAUACGUAGGGUGCAAGCGUUAAUCGGAAUUACUGGGCGUAAAGCGUGCGCAGGCGGUUCGGAAAGAAAGAUGUGAAAUCCCAGAGCUUAACUUUGGAACUGCAUUUUUAACUACCGAGCUAGAGUGUGUCAGAGGGAGGUGGAAUUCCGCGUGUAGCAGUGAAAUGCGUAGAUAUGCGGAGGAACACCGAUGGCGAAGGCAGCCUCCUGGGAUAACACUGACGCUCAUGCACGAAAGCGUGGGG